AUAGUUUAUAGUUAUUGUCAAGGUUUGAUUGAAACAGUUACAAGAGUAAUCUACAUUCAUUCAAGGAACAACUGAGCCUUUAAUUUUUUAUAGCUUACAUUAUUAAAUCCAACAAAACAUAAAAAAAAACAAUGACUGCACUUGAACAAAUACAUCAAUUCAAUUUUAGAAUGCUCAGUGCAGUUUGGUGAGAUUUUUUGCACUUCUUUCAUCCAUUCACACAUCUCGCAUUAUUACAGCCUAAUCAACACAUGCUGUGCUUUUCCUAAGUGCUGAAACUGGCUGAACAAAUGCGAGGAGCAACAAGAAAGACAAGGAGGAGGAGGAAGGAGGAGGAGGACAGGCUGAGCUGCAGAGCUUAUUCUMCUGCCUUGGAAAGCUUCAUGCACAGUGGAUCGCAUUACCGACACUGCUGGAAACCGACAAGUGGAAGCUUGAGACCCGGGCAGCAGCAGAUCGUUCCCACAUGCUUCCCCGCCGCUCAGCUCUCCAGAGGUGUCGAGCCGGCCUGAAAGAAUGAAGUGCCUCCCUAUUGUGCUGCUCAACUAUUAUGUGCUUAACAUUUCCAUGACAAA